AUGUGCUUAGAUGCCCAGCAACGGCUCACGUUCAAGCAUCAACAUGGGGUGGACACAUUUGCGUACCACGUUCAAGCGUCAACGGCCUGGUUGAAACCGCCAAGGACUUGCUGGAGCUGCGCAAAAACUGCAGUGUCUGGAAAGAGGGAGAAGGCGCUGAUGAAAACCAUGUGCUUGACCGGAGGGGCACAGGCUACGUCCUGCCGGCUCGGCUGGGAGCCCCGCUUCAUCGCGUACACGAUCCACACAAAGGGACCCUUGCUUGGCUCAUUCGCCACAGGAACAGACUACUACACACAGGGCCGGGAGACCAGGGUGUACCAGGGACAACCGGGCGAGGAGGCGGAGUCGUACCUUUUGGUUUGCUUUGGCUACACUUCCGAGGCGGGCGAAAUGCAUGUAAGGGUCGGCGACAAUCAUGAGCUCGACUGGCCGCUCAGAUGGAUCCUCUUUGACGCCUUCACAAGCUUCACUCUUAUUGAGGUUGAGCUCUUGGACACGGGAGAUCUAAGGAAGAACUGGGACACUUUGUGA
rnacentral:rRNA from 1 species